AAAAAGACAAACCUGAUUUCCGUGUCCAAUAUUUGACCGUCCGUCUUAUUUGAAAAAAUUAUGAAAAAAAUUAAAAAGACAAGCAACGUAUAAAGUAUUAAUCAUGUUUUAUCAUCUAACAACAAUAAAAAUACGAAUUAUAAAAAAAUUUCAUAUAAGACUUACGGUCAAAGUUGGACACGAAAAAUUAGGGUUUACCUUUUU
rfam:Oryza glumipatula chromosome 5, whole genome shotgun sequence.